UACGUAGGCAGCGAGCGUUGUUCGGAAUUACUGGGCGUAAAGAGUGUGUAGGCGGUGCUCUAAGUUCGGUGUGAAAUCUCCUGGCUCAACUGGGAGGGUGCGCCGGAAACUGGAGUGCUUGAGUGUGGGAGAGGAAAGCGGAAUUCCUGGUGUAGCGGUGAAAUGCGUAGAUAUCAGGAGGAACACCUGUGGUGUAGACGGCUGUCUGGACCAUAGCUGACGCUGAGACACGAAAGCGUGGGUAGCAAACAGG
rnacentral:rRNA from 1 species